CCUACGGGAGGCAGCAGUGGGGAAUAUUGGGCAAUGGGCGCAAGCCUGACCCAGCAACGCCGCGUGAAGGAAGAAGGCUUUCGGGUUGUAAACUUCUUGUCUCAGGGACGAAGAAAGUGACGGUACCGGAGGAAUAAGCAACGGCUAACUACGGGCAAGCAGCCGCGGUAAUACGUAGGGGGGAAGCGUUAGCCGGAUUUAUUGGGUGUAAAGGGCGUGGAGGCGGGAGCGCAAGUCAGAGGGGAAAACUCAGGGCUCAACCCGGAGCCUGCAUUGGAAACUGUGUUUCUUGAGUGCUGGAGCGGCAAUCGGAAUUCCGUUUGUAGCGGUGAAAUGCGUAGAUCUACGGAGGACCACCAGUGGCGAAGGCGGCUUGCUGGACAGUAACUGACGCUGCGGCGCGAACGCGUGGGGCGCAAACAGGAUUAGAUACCCGAGUAGUC
rnacentral:rRNA from 1 species